UACGUAGGGUGCAAGCGUUGUCCGGAAUUAUUGGGCGUAAAGAGCUCGUAGGCGGCUUGUCGCGUCGUCCGUGAAAACCUGCAGCUCAACUGCAGGCUUGCGGUCGAUACGGGCAGGCUAGAGUUCGGUAGGGGAGACUGGAAUUCCUGGUGUAGCGGUGGAAUGCGCAGAUAUCAGGAGGAACACCGAUGGCGAAGGCAGGUCUCUGGGCCACUACUGACGCUGAGAAGCGAAAGCAUGGGGAGCGAACAGG
rnacentral:rRNA from 1 species